CUACUCUGAGCAAUCAUGUCUAAGGGAUCUGCAGUUGGCAUUAAUCUUGGCACUACCUACUCCUGUGUGGGUGCCUUCCAGCAUGGAAAAGUGGAGAUAAUUGCAGCUGAUCAGGGCAACCAAACCACCCCAAGCUAUGUCACUUUUACUGAUACCGAACGAUUGACUGGUGAUGCCACCAAGAAUCAAGUUGCAAUGAAUCCCACUAACACAGUGUUCGAUGCCAAACGUCUGAUUGGAUGAAGAUUUGAUGAUGCAGUUGUCCAGUCUGAUAUGAAGCAUUGGCCCUUCAUGGUGGUGAAUGAUGCAGGCAGGUCCACGGUCCAAGUAGAACAUAAGGGAGAGACCAAACGUUUCUAUCUGGAGAAGGUGUCAUCUAUGGUUCUGACAAAAAUGAAGGAAACUGCAGAAGCCUACCUUAGAAAGACUGUUACCAAUGCUGUUGUCACUGUAUCAGCCUACUUUAACGACUCUCAGCAUCAGGCUACCAAAGAUGCUGGAACUAUUGCUGGCCUCAAUGUACUGAGAAUCACCAACGAGCCAACUGCUGCUGCUAUUCUUUAUGGCUUAGACAAAAAGGUUGGUGCUGAAAGAAAUGUGCUGAUUUUUUACUUAGGAGGUGGCACUUUUGAUGUGUCAAUCCUCUCUAUUGAAGAUGGAAUCUUCGAGGUCAAAUCUACAGUUGGAGACACCCACUUAGGUGGAGAAGACUUUGACAACAGAAUGGUGAACAAUUUUAUUGCUGAAUUCAAGUGCAAACAUAAGAAGGACAUCAGUCAGAACAAGAGAGCUGUUUGUAGCCUCUGCACUGCUUGUGAAUGUGCAAAGUACACUCUAUCUUCCAGUACCCAGGCCAAUAUUGAGAUUGAUUCUCUCUAUAAAGGAAUCGACUUCUAUACCUCCAUUACCUGUGUCCAAUUUGAACCAUUGAAUGCUGACCUAUUUCGUGGCACCCCAGACCCCGCAGAGAAAGCCUUUAGGGACGCCAAGCUAGACAAGUCACAUAUCCGUGACACUGUCCUGGUGGGUGGUUCUACCCGUAUUCCCAAGAUUCAGAAACUUCUUCAAGAUUUCUUCAAUAGAAAAGAAUUGAACAAGAGCAUCAACUCUGAUGAGGCUGUUGCUUACAGUGCAGCUGUCCAGGCAGCAAUCUUAUCUGGAGACAAAUCUGAAAAUGCUCAAGAUUUGCUGCUCUUGGAUGUCACUCCUCUCUCCCUUGGUAUUGAAACUGCUGGUGGAGUCAUGACUGUCCUGAUCAAGCGCAAUACUACCAUUCCUACCAAGCAGACGCAGACCUUCACAACCUACUCUGACAACCAGCCUGGUGUGCUCAUUCAGGUUUAUGAAGGCGAGCAUGCCAUGACCAAGGAUAACGACCUGCUUGGCAAGUUUGAACUUACUGGCAUACCUCCUGCACCCCAUGGUGUUCCUCAGAUUGAAGUCGCUUUUGAUAUUGAUGCCAAUGGUAUCCUCACCGUCUCUGCUGUGGAUAAGAGUACUGGAAAAAAGAACAAGAAUACCAUCACUAAUGACAAGGACCACUUGAGUAAAGAAGACAUUGAGCGUACGGUCCAGGAAGCUGAAAAGUACAAAGCUGAAGAUGAGAAACAGAGGGACAAGGUGUCCUCUAAGAAUUUGCUUGAAUCUUAUGCAUUCAACAUGAAGGCAACAGUUGAAGAUGAAAAACUUCAAGGCAAGAUCAAUGAUGAGGACAAACAGAAGAUUCCUGACGAGUGUAAUGAAAUUAUCAACUGGCUUGAUAAGAAUCAGACGGCAGAGAAGGAAGAAUUUGAACAUCAGCAGAAAGAGCUGGAGAAAGUCUGCAACUCCAUCAUUACCAAGCUGUACCAGGGUGCUGGAGGCAUGCCUGGAGGAAUGCCUGGGGGCUUCCCUGGUGGUGGAGCUCCUCCAUCUGGUGGUGCCUCUUCUGGACCCACCACUGAAGAAGUUGAUUAAGCCAAUCUCUGAGCAGAGAUACCUUAGCAUUGUUCCACAGUAAAAAAUUGAAGGACCCAAAUUUGUAGUACACUCAGUGGCAGUUUUAGAAGUUACACUGCUAUACUAAAUUUCUGGGUUUUCUCAAUACUUGAAUAUGGGAUAUGCAUAGAGAAAAGAAGUCAACACUGCAGUUUACUAGCAUCGUAUCGUAAGUGGAAAAUGCAAUGUCUUAAAUAAAACUGUAUUUAAAAUUGGC